ensembl:lncRNA
GAGGAAACCAGCGGCUGAACAACAGCAGCACGUUUAAGCUUGAUAAGCUGUUGUUAGAAUGUAUUUAAUAUUACUUUCUACACCAGGAUCCUUUUCUACGCAGCUGACGGCUGGUAACUGUGCAGGGGCGGAUCUAGCAAAGUGUAGCCAGGGGGGCCGAUAGGGCAUUAACAGGGAAAAGGGGGACAUACUUUUCUUUCUUAUUCUCAUUUAAAAUGCCUAGCUUUUAAUAAAUAAUUAUCUGAAUCUUACACCCAAAGUUUUAAUCUGAUGUAAAAUGUAUAGAAGUCCAUUACUGUAUAUAGUAACUGUUAAGUCUAAUAUACCCUAGUAAGCUAUAGUACUUUUUUCUUUGAGAAGGUACCAUCUGUGAAUUCUGCAAUUCUGUUGAAGAAAGAUGUUGAAUCUAUUUAAUUAUUCUUGAAAAAUAAUUUAUUUCUGUGCAUUUUUUUUUCACCCUGCAUCAAAUUAAAGUUGAUUACAUCGAUUAAGCAUCAUGAGGUGGAGGGUGGGGGGUGGUUCCCUAUUUUUUUUUGCUGGGAGUUUGCAACCCUAUUAGUUAGGUUGCUUAAUAUUUCUGCUAAGUACUCUUUAAAAUACCAG